GAUGAACGCUGGCGGCGUGCCUAAUACAUGCAAGUCGAGCGAACAGACGAGGAGCUUGCUCCUCUGACGUUAGCGGCGGACGGGUGAGUAACACGUGGAUAACCUACCUAUAAGACUGGGAUAACUUCGGGAAACCGGAGCUAAUACCGGAUAAUAUAUUGAACCGCAUGGUUCAAUAGUGAAAGACGGUUUUGCUGUCACUUAUAGAUGGAUCCGCGCCGCAUUAGCUAGUUGGUAAGGUAACGGCUUACCAAGGCAACGAUGCGUAGCCGACCUGAGAGGGUGAUCGGCCACACUGGAACUGAGACACGGUCCAGACUCCUACGGGAGGCAGCAGUAGGGAAUCUGCCGCAAUGGGCGAAAGCCUGACGGAGCAACGCCGCGUGAGUGAUGAAGGUCUUCGGAUCGUAAAACUCUGCUAUUAGGGAAGAACAAAUGUGUAAGUAACUAUGCACGUCUUGACGGUACCUAAUCAGAAAGCCACGGCUAACUACGUG
rnacentral:rRNA from 1 species